rnacentral:rRNA from 1 species
GAUUAAGCCAUGCAUGUCUAAGUAUAAGCAAUUAUACCGCGAAACUGCGAAUGGCUCAUUAUAUAAGUUAUCGUUUAUUUGAUAGUACCUUACUACUUGGAUAACCGUGGUAAUUCUAGAGCUAAUACAUGCUAAAAAUCCCGACUUCGGAAGGGAUGUAUUUAUUAGAUUAAAAACCAAUGCCCUUCGGGGCUCACUGGUGAUUCAUGAUAACUCCUCGAAUCGCAUGGCCUUGUGCCGGCGAUGGUUCAUUCAAAUUUCUUCCCUAUCAACUUUCGAUGUUUGGGUAUUGGCCAAACAUGGUUGCAACGGGUAACGGGGA